AGAGUUUGAUCCUGGCUCAGGAUGAACGCUAGCGACAGGCUUAACACAUGCAAGUCGAGGGGCAGCAUGAUUUGUAGCAAUACAGAUUGAUGGCGACCGGCGCACGGGUGAGUAACGCGUAUGCAACUUACCUAUCAGAGGGGGAUAGCCCGGCGAAAGUCGGAUUAAUACCCCAUAAAACAGGGGUCCCGCAUGGGAAUAUUUGUUAAAGAUUCAUCGCUGAUAGAUAGGCAUGCGUUCCAUUAGGCAGUUGGCGGGGUAACGGCCCACCAAACCGACGAUGGAUAGGGGUUCUGAGAGGAAGGUCCCCCACAUUGGUACUGAGACACGGACCAAACUCCUACGGGAGGCAGCAGUGAGGAAUAUUGGUCAAUGGCCGAGAGGCUGAACCAGCCAAGUCGCGUGAAGGAAGAAGGAUCUAUGGUUUGUAAACUUCUUUUAUAGGGGAAUAAAGUGGAGGACGUGUCCUUUUUUGUAUGUACCCUAUGAAUAAGCAUCGGCUAACUCCGUGCCAGCAGCCGCGGUAAUACGGAGGAUGCGAGCGUUAUCCGGAUUUAUUGGGUUUAAAGGGUGCGUAGGUGGUGAUUUAAGUCAGCGGUGAAAGUUUGUGGCUCAACCAUAAAAUUGCCGUUGAAACUGGGUUACUUGAGUGUGUUUGAGGUAGGCGGAAUGCGUGGUGUAGCGGUGAAAUGCAUAGAUAUCACGCAGAACUCCGAUUGCGAAGGCAGCUUACUAAACCAUAACUGACACUGAAGCACGAAAGCGUGGGGAUCAAACAGGAUUAGAUACCCUGGUAGUCCACGCAGUAAACGAUGAUCACUAGCUGUUUGCGAUACACUGUAAGCGGCACAGCGAAAGCGUUAAGUGAUCCACCUGGGGAGUACGCCGGCAACGGUGAAACUCAAAGGAAUUGACGGGGGCCCGCACAAGCGGAGGAACAUGUGGUUUAA
rnacentral:rRNA from 1 species